GUGCAACGCACCACUGCAGCAGCAGCAGCGUUAGGGCGCGCUUUGUUUACAACGGAACGACAACAGUUCAGCUGUCACGUCUACCUUCCCGUUAGGGUUAUUUCAAACGCAGAAUCCCUGCGGCACUCACCUCAACAGCAGCCUGUGCCUGCGGUGCUGAUGCGCGCUCGUCCACGGCAACUUUCCAUGUAGGCUGGACCUUCCGGGAUGGAAAAACGACAAGCGACUUUGUAGCGAGACCCCCACCCACCCACCCACCCCCCCAAAAAACCUCGGGUGUUAUUUUUGGUGACGUCUAGUAGCAGAAGUGUCGACCAGACGCCGAGCAUCAGCGCACUGCGCCUCCACCUCCUCCUCCUCCUCCUGCUCCUUCUUCUUCUUCUUUCCUGACGGCUUUGUGGUCGGCGAGCAAACCGGUUCGAAGCUGUUCUCGCCGGCCAGCAGGAGCUCCGCAACCCUGGCAUUUUAUUGAAAGCUUGCUCGGACCUCAAAUUUUGGCCGACACUCACACAGCUGCUGCUUUCAGCCACCGCUCACGCCCAGAAACUUGCACACAGAUUCUCUGACGUCACAAGCCACCUAAACAGGUACCGCCUCUUAAAGGCACAUAUCUAACACACAAACACUAUGAAUAAUGUUUCUUCUAUCAGUUUGUUUGUUUGUUUUCCAAUACGUUUACAAUGUGUUUCAAUGUGUAUUGUAAUAAGUGUUUUUAAUAUGUAUAAAUGUGUUUAAACUGUAACCAUGUUGACUUUUAAAGAGUAAAAGGAUCUAUCAUGCU